GACGAACGCUGGCGGCGUGCCUAACACAUGCAAGUCGAACGGAAAGGCCCUGCUUUUGUGGGGUGCUCGAUUGGCGAACGGGUGAGUAACACAUGAGUAACCUGCCCUUGACUUUGGGAUAACUUCAGGAAACUGGGGCUAAUACCGCAUAGGAGCUCCUGCUGCACGGUGGGGGUUGGAAAGUUUCGGCGGUUGGGGAUGGUCUCGCGGCUUAUCAGCUUGUUGGUGGGGUAGUGGCUUACCAAGGGUUUGACGGGUAGGCGGCCUGAGAGGGUGACCGGCGACAUUGGGACUGAGAUACGGCCCAGACGCCUACGGGAGGCAGCAGUGGGGAAUAUUGCACAAUGGGCGGAAGCCUGAUGCAGCAACGCCGCGUGCGGGAUGACGGCCUUCGGGUUGUAAACCGCUGUCGCCUGUGACGAAGCGUGAGUGACGGUAAUGGGUAAAGAAGCACCGGCUAACUACGUG
rnacentral:rRNA from 1 species